rnacentral:lncRNA from 1 species
UUUUUGGGAUUUCUUUUCUUUUACACAGAAACACACACACACACUCUCAUAUAGUACACCUCACUGAUUCACACUCACUCACGCACACAGAACACACUCCAGAAUAGACAAUCAGGUAGUGGAGAGUUUGAGCAAAAAUAUCGAGAGACUCACACGCGAGAGAGGGAUUUGCGGUUGGAUUUGUAACGGGGAAGAAAAAAAGGUAGAUUCGAAGUUAAUUGGAAAAGGGAUUUGCAGGUUUGGUCACUGUUCCGGCGACUACUUCGCCGGAAUCUCUUGGAUCUCGAUUUCUGUCGUGUCGUUGGGAGUUUUUUUUGAAUUCAUCUUUUUUUUGCUGUUCGUCGUCAGUGACGGUCUUGGAGG